rnacentral:misc_RNA from 1 species
AAGUCGUAACAAGGUUUCCGUAGGUGAACCUGCGGAAGGAUCAUCAUUGAAUAAACUUGGUUGGGUUGUUGCUGGCUCCUCGGAGCAUGUGCACGCUCACUCCAUUUUUAACCACCUGUGCACCUUGUGUAGAUCUGAACAACUCUCGGGGAAACUCGGUCAGAGGAUUGCUGUGUGUAAAAGCCAGCUUUUCUUGGGUUCAGAUCUAUGUCUCUAUAUACACCAUAAGAAUGUAUUGGAAUGUAAUUAAUAGGCGUUACAGCCUUUAAAAUCAAUACAA